UUUAAAGUUAAUUUUUCUUUAAAAAUUUAAUUAAUUAAUUUUUUUUAUGUAAAGUUUAAUAAAAAAUUAAAAAGCAGAGAAUAGGAUUAAAAAUUUUAUAAUUAAAGAUUUAGAAAUUAAUAUAUAAUAAACUAAAAUUGUGCCAGCAGUUGCGGUUAAACAAUUUAUUUAAUUAAAUUAUUUUUAUUGUAAUAAGUUUAAAAUAAUAUAGAAUAAAAUAGAUUAUUUGGUGAAAAAUUAAUUUAUUAAAAUUAUAUAGUUGAAAUGGUUUAAUAAAUUAUGUUUAAUAAACUAAGAUUAGAUACCUUAUUAUUUAUAAUAAAUAAAAAUAAUAAAAUUAGUAGGUAAUUAUUAAAAAGUAAAAAAUUUGGCGGUAUUUUAGUCAAUUUAGAGGAAUCUGUUUUGAAAUUGAUAAACCACGAUAAAAGUUAUUUAAUUUAUAUUAUUUAUAUAUAGUUAUUUAGAGUAUUUUUAUAAAAUAAUUUCAUAAUGAUUAAAAAGUAAUUAAUUUAAAUCAAUAUGUAAUUAAUAAUUAAAGAAAAAUGGAUUAUUAUUAUUAAAAUUAAUAAUUUUUAAGUUUUAAGUUUAUAAGGAAAGGAUUUAAAAGUAAUUUUUAUUAAUUAAUAAGAAUGAGUUUGAUUUAAAAUAUGUACAUAUUGCCCGUCAAUUUUAGUAAUAAAAUAAGUCGUAACAAAGUAGAUGUAUUGGAAAAUGUAUCUAGAUU
rnacentral:ncRNA from 1 species